AGUGGCGGACGGGUGAGUAACACGUAAGAAUUUGCCUUUAGGAGGGGGACAACAACUGGAAACGGUUGCUAAUACCCCAUAUGCUUUCGAGUGAAAUGGAUUUUUCCGCCUAAAGAGAAGCUUGCGGCUGAUUAGCUUGUUGGUGAGGUAAUGGCUCACCAAGGCGACGAUCAGUAUCUGGUUUGAGAGGAUGAUCAGACACACUGGAACUGAGACACGGUCCAGACUCCUACGGGAGGCAGCAGUGGGGAAUUUUCCGCAAUGGGCGAAAGCCUGACGGAGCAAUCUCGCGUGAGGGAUGACGGCCUAUGGGUUGUAAACCUCUUUUUUCAGGGAGGAACAAAAUGACGUGUACCUGAAGAAUAAGCAUCGGCUAACUCCGUGCCAGCAGCCGCGGUAAGACGGAGGAUGCAAGUGUUAUCCGGAAUCACUGGGCGUAAAGCGUCUGUAGGUGGUUUAAUAAGUCAACUGUUAAAUCUUGAAGCUCAACUUCAAAAUCGCAGUCGAAACUAUUAGACUAGAGUAUAGUAGGGGUAAAGGGAAUUUCCAGUGGAGCGGUGAAAUGCGUAGAUAUUGGAAAGAACACCGAUGGCGAAGGCACUUUACUGGGCUAUUACUGACACUCAGAGACGAAAGCUAGGGUUGCAAAUGGGAUUAGAUACCCCAGUAGUCCUAGCCGUAAACAAUGGAUACUAGAUAU
rnacentral:rRNA from 1 species